GUAAGACCAUCUGAUGAGGCGAUGACUGAGCUCCUCACUUUCCUCAGACCCAGCCCUCGGUUCUGACCCAUGCCUGCCCUCCCAGCUGCCCCAGGCACCGGGAACGUGCCCUGGCACAGGUAUAUUCCCUAUGUCUCUGCCCUAGCCUCAGCCAGGGAACCCACCAGGAGCAGACGGAGCCUCGAAACAAGUGCCGCCCAAGAGAAAUAUAAUGUGAGCCACACAUUUAAUUUAAAAUUUUCUGCUGGCUUCAUUUCUCAAAAGUAUAUCCAAAAUACUGUCAUUUCAACAUGUGCUAUGAAACACACUGCAAGUGUUGACCAGCUGCAUGUGGCUAGUGGUGACCAUGUCGGAUGGGGCAGCUCCAUGCAGAUCCCUGCACCUGUCCCUUCCAGAGCAAGGAUGACAGCAGGAAGGAUCCGGAAAAGCUGAGCCUCUGCCAACCCCAUGUCAUACCGAGUCUUGACUCGAGAACAAUGAUGCCCAGCAUGCUGCCAGCUGUAAGACAUCGCUCCUGCUGUCUCUGUGCCCUGUACGUCUUCCCAUUCUGCCUGAGUCAGCUCAAAUGUCACCACCGCCGGGGAGUCUUCCUGGAAUGCCUGUAGCGCUAACUUCAGAAUUUGAAAAUAGCUCUUCACAGUCUCUCCUGACAAUAGCUACCAUUUGUUGGGCAUUUACCAUGGGGCCACUAGCCCCCUGAGCGCAAGAAGUGUACCUCUCCACCUGUGGGUCCUGGACACCUGCUGUGGAACAGGGCCUGAAACACCUGCUGCAUCAAGUUCUUCUGAUCCUCCCCACUGCAGUGUUCUUGUUCGUUUGUGUUUAAUUUUUUAAAAUUUGCUUUAAAUCCUGCCUGGGGAAAAGAGCAAGAAUACACUGCGCAUGGCCAGUUUAAAAACAUCUGCCCGUGUCCUCUAUGAUAGCCCGUCCUAUUUUCAAAGAGCGAGGUAUAGCAGUGUCCCGGAGCGCCUGGUGCCAAUGAUAAGUGGCGCUGCACCGUGUGGCAGAGCUAACGUCCCAGAGCCACCGGGCCAUCACUCGCUGUGCCUUUCUGAUGGUUGCAGUUCAAAAUAGUAUUCUCUCUGAAUGGAACCCAUUCUAUUUUACAAAGUGUAAAUCUUGGGGCACC